AUGUGCUCGGUGUUUGGAAUCGACGAUGAACCUGUGCAACGAAAAUGUGUAUCUGAAGCAGCCAUCAAAGCCUCGAUUGCAAAGGUUGAUGCAUGUAUAGCUGAUAUUAAUGAGGACUUACUUGCUGAUGCGGCUCUUCCAGUGCCUGACCAUAUGCCUGAAGAUGAUCACUUUUGGUAUGAUAAGGAACAUCCUGUGAUAGAGGAAGGUUCUUUGUUUCGUUCGAUGAAAGAGUUUAGGAUGCUUAUGAGAACAUUUGCUAUUAGAGGUAAGUUUGACAUUAAGACCAAGGAUAGUGACACUACUAGAUAUGUGGGUCACUGUAAAGGAAAUGGAUGUCCUUGGCGUAUAAUUGCUAGAACGAUAGAAGAUGGCAAAACAGUCAGGGUUAACAAGAUAGUAAAGCCUCAUAAGUGUUCAUCAACCGCUAAAGUGAUUACAAGCAUGGCAGACCAAGCAUGGGUGGCAGAAAAGGCAAUUGGGUAUCUUCAAAGUGAACCAAACAUUGGUGGCAUGGAGCUCCUAAAAAAGCUACAAGCAGAGUACAAAUGUACUAUUGGGUAUGAUACUGUUCAAAAGGGAAAAGAAAGGGCCGCAAAUAUGUUAUAUGGAACCUGGGGAAAAAGCUUUCAGAAUUUAUUCAACUUCAAAGCUGAGAUUGAUAAGAGAUCUUCGGGUAGCAUUGUUGAGGUUGAUGUCAAGAGGGAAAAAGAUGGAGUGUAUUUCCGGAGAUUUUUUAUGGCACUUAAGCCAAGCAUUGAUGGCUUUUUGGCUGGUUGUAGACCAUAUCUCAGUAUAGACUCCACACAUUUGACUGGAAAGUGGAAUGGUCAAUUGGCGGCAUGUACAACACUAGAUGGACAAAACUGGAUGUUUCCUUAG
rnacentral:rRNA from 1 species